UCUCCAGGUACAAAAAUAUUCAGGAAGGAUAUUAAAAAAAAUAUGGUUCAGAUGGACAGAUAUUUGGCAAUAAAAAUCGACAAUUAGUUCAAGAGGCUUAUUUAAAUUUGCAUGAAUGAUUAAUAACAUAUUGAAAAAUGUCUCCAUAUAAGAAAAAACGAAACAUCGAAAAUAUUCGUUCAUACACUCACACUAGAAUUUAUUCUUCAACAUUUCGAUAAACUUCAAAAUUCCUGUAAAAACUUACAAAAUGGACACAUUCUUUACAUGUAUACUACAUCUGGAGAAUAUAAUAAACUCAAAACAGCAACGAAAUUGAAGGAAUUUUGUUUUUCCAAAUAUUCCAUAGACGAUGAUUUUAAUUUUUUUAUAAUAAUAUCAGGCAAAUUGUUAGUAAGAUCUUAAAGAAAUUUAUUAAUCUUAAAAAUCAAACUGUUAUGGAUAAAUUUAAAUGGCAUGCAAUGAGACAUUACUUUUUCCAUUGGACGCUUCUCCAUCCAAAAGUGCAUUGCAUGAAAGUGAUCAACAACUUAAAAUUCCUUCUUCUGAUAAACCAUGUAGCAGUAGCGAAGUUCAAUCAUUAACACCUCGUUGUAAAAACCUGAAGACCAAAAUGAUAAACAAGGCUUCAAUUUUUGAAAAAAAGGCUUUCCCAUCUCAGAAUUAAGAACUUUAAUUUAAGAUCAACACUAUCAAAGACUAAAUCUGAAUUAAAGUGUAGCAAAAUUACCAUUUUUUCUAAUAAACAUAACAUUGAUAAUUUGAAAAAAAUAUAUAUGAAUGGGAGAUUGUGGUAAAAAAAAAUUAAAUGAAAGUGCCCUUAAGGAGGAAUUAAAAUGAUCUCAAUCUAAAUUAAAGCGUAUGAUAAAUACGUAUUCUAAAUUAUUGUCUUAUAAUAGUAUAAAAAUAAAAUCAUUAUGGUUCCAAGAGUUAGCUUAAAUAAUUUAAUGUCUAGAUUGAAGAAGAAAGAAGUAAUUAUAAAAAGAUUCAAGACAUAAAACUUAUUUUUACAAGAAAAUGUUCACUGUCAAGAAGUUACCAAAUUAUCUAGAAAGAAUCGUCUAAAUGGUUUACAGUCUAAAACUUAUUCAACAAAUAUGAUAAUGAAGGUAUAUCACUGUGUUAUCAAUAAACUUAUGAGCUUUGCAAGGCUGUUUGACAAAAACACGACAGAUGCUUUGAUUAAAUACAGAGUAUAAAUGACGUCAAUUCUCUUUAUCGCUUUCACUUACAGAAUAUAUUCAAUAUAUGAAUUAUCACUAAAAAAAUUCUGCUCAACACUCAAUAUUCUUAAGAUAUUGCAGAAAUGAAACUAAAGAUAUGAUAAGUGAUGACUAUUCUGUUUAUAUCCUCUCUACCACACUUAUCAAAAAAAAAAAAAAAAAAUAAUAAUCAGAGGCUCCAGAAUAGUCAAACUCCAGAAGAUGGUGUAUUAUAUCCGUUGCCAUCUCAUUAGAACAUCUUCCUGCCUCUGCCUUUUAAUUUUCAUGAAUGUUAAUUUAAAUGUAUUCAAAAAUUCGUUUAUAUGUUUUUCCAACAGAGAGUUUAGGGGCUGGAAAGACAAUCAUAAUAUCAAAGUAUGUAGUAAAUCCAGUUUAUCAUUAAUAUUAUUUUGGAAUAAUUUAACAUAAUAUUAGUUACAAUAUAUAUUAGUAAAUAUAAAAAUUUGACUUUAACUAUUUAACACAUUCUAUAAAUUUAGCACAAUUUUAUA
rnacentral:lncRNA from 1 species